CAUGCCGUAAACGUUGGGCACUAGGUGUGGGGGACAUUCCACGUUUUCCGCGCCGUAGCUAACGCAUUAAGUGCCCCGCCUGGGGAGUACGGCCGCAAGGCUAAAACUCAAAGGAAUUGACGGGGGCCCGCACAAGCGGCGGAGCAUGCGGAUUAAUUCGAUGCAACGCGAAGAACCUUACCAAGGCUUGACAUGAACUGGAAACACCUGGAAACAGGUGCCCCGCUUGCGGUCGGUUUACAGGUGG
rnacentral:rRNA from 1 species